ensembl:lncRNA
AGAAACACGCCCACACCUUCUUCAUCAGGUUGAUGUUGAAAUAAACAAUCUCAACAUGUAUUUCUGGAAAAAUACUUACUUUAUUACCUCAGUCCUGUUGGUAUUUUUUGCAUUCAUGAGACUUGGAGCAAACUCGGAAACAGAACCUACAAUGACAGCUCCAUCAACAUUUGCAACAGAUAUGUCCGCUAUAACCAAUACCACGUUUGAAUCAUAUACAAGUGAAAGAACUUCAACACUAGAAACUACAUCUUCCUCGAUAGGUACCAAUCCAUCUUCACCAUCUAUGACGGCAGAAGGACAAAGUACAUCAGAAUUGAUUUCACCAACAACAGAAAUAUCUUCAUCCACUUUAGAGCAAACCACAAGCCAGCAGACACAAACAACUCUGUUUACUUCUACCAUAGAAACAGAACCUACAACGACAGAUCAAUUAUCAUUUCCAACAGCUAUGUCACCUACGAGUAUGUCUACAUUCGAAUCAUCUACAAGUGGAAAAAGUUCAACACUGGAUACUACAUCUUCCUUGAUAGGCACCACUCCAUCUUCAACAUCGACGAUAGCAGAAGUACAAAGUACAUCAGAAUUGAUUUCACCAACAACAGAAAUAUCUUCAUCCACUUUAGAGCAAACCACAAGCCAGCAGACAGAAACCACGCUGUUUACUUCUACCAUAGAAACAGAACUUACAAUGACACCUCAAUCAACAUUUACAACAGAUAUCUCCACUAUGACCAGUACCACAAUUGAAUCAUCUACAAGACAAAGUGGAUCAACAGUGGAAACUAUGAUAUCCACAACAAUUAACUCUCUAUCUUCAUUGUCUACUACCACAGAAGGACAAAGUACAUCAGAAUUGAUUUCAUCAACAACAGAAAUAUCUUCAUCCACUGUAGAGCAAACCACAAGUCUGCAGGCCCAAACAACUGUGUUUAGUUCGACCACAGAAACAGAACCUACAACGACAGCUCAAUCAACAUUUACAACAGAUGCAACAGACGGACAAAGUACAUCAGAAUUGAUUUCAUCAACAACAGAAAUGUCUACUUCUAGUGAAGAGCAAACAACAAGCCAGGGGACACAGACCUCUAUGUUUACUUCUACCACAGAAACAGAACCCACAACAAGAGCUCAAUCGACAUUUACAACAGAUAUGUCCCCUACAAGUAUGUCCACAUUAGAAUCAGGUACAAGUGAAAGUGGACCAACGGUGCAAAUUACUCUGUCCACAACAGUUACCUCUCCAUCUUCACCGCCUACUUCAAAAGAAGGACAAAGUACAUCAGAAUUAACUUCAUCAGCAACCGAAAUAUCUUCAUCCACUGUAGAGCAAACAACAAGCCAGCAGGCUCAAACAACUGUGUUUAGUUCGACCACAGAAACAGAACCUAUAACGACAGCUAAAUCAACAUUUACAGCAGCUAUGUCCCCUAUGACCACGACCACGUUUGAAUCAUUUCCAAGUGAAAGAAGUUCAACACUGGAAACUACAUCAUCCUCAACAGGAACGUCUCCAUCUUCACCUUCUACUGCAACAGAUGGACAAAGUACAUCAGAAUUGAUUUCAUCAACAACAGAAAUGUCUACUUCUAGUGAAGAGCAAACAACAAGCCAGGGGACACAAACCUCUAUGUUUACUUCUACCACAGAAACAGAACCCACAACAAGAUCUCAAUCGACAUUUACAACAGAUAUGUCCCCUACAAGUAUGUCCACAUUAGAAUCAUCUACAAGUGAAAGUGGAUCAACGGUGCAAACUACUCUGUACUCAACAGGUACUUCUACAUCUUCACCAUCUACUUCAACGGAAGGACAAAGUACAUCAGAAUUAACUUCAUCCGCAACAGAAAUAUCAUCAUCCACUGUAGAGCAAACAACAAGCCAGC